UACGUAGGGUGCGAGCGUUAAUCGGAAUCACUGGGCGUAAAGGGUGCGUAGGCGGGUCUUUAAGUCAGGGGUGAAAUCCUGGAGCUCAACUCCAGAACUGCCUUUGAUACUGAGGAUCUUGAGUUCGGGAGAGGUGAGUGGAACUGCGAGUGUAGAGGUGAAAUUCGUAGAUAUUCGCAAGAACACCAGUGGCGAAGGCGGCUCACUGGCCCGAUACUGACGCUGAGGCACGAAAGCGUGGGGAGCAACAGGG
rnacentral:rRNA from 1 species